UGCCCACAAAUCAUGAGUCAGGCCCCUCAACAAUCAUAAGAUUAAAAAAAAAAGUGGGUUAUUUUUCUUUGCCUUCUGGUUUCCAAAUGAAAGCUAAGACUCCCCGCUCUAGGAGAUGGGGGUCUUAAAAAAACAGUAAAUGUCACAUGACUCGCAAUACACUCAUGAGCGCUGGCAACGCUACCUUUGCUAGCUCUGGUGCAGCGGGUCUGUUACUGGAAAAUUUUACGGAAUUUUCUAGUGUAGAAACACCCCAGUUAAUAUGGAUAGGAGCAAGCUCAGGCCUCAAGUUGCUAAGAGGGGAAGGAUAAGGUUAGGAUAAUAGGCUUUGGAAUCAGGAGGGUUAAGUACUACUCUGGCCUCCACUGUUGUCUUGUUUUGGGCAAGUCAUGUAACUUCUGUAUGCUUCAGUUUCCUUAUAUGCAAAAUGAUGAUGACCUAUCUCAGUGAGGGAAAACACUUUCAGACCUGUGGAUGGAAGGGACUAGAGAAGGGCAACGUACUAGGGGUUAUCAACAGUCCCUUAUUACAAGGGACAACCUUUAUUUUUUCAUCUCUGUACAACAAGAUUGGGAGUUGCUGAGUGCUGCAAAAAGCAGCAAGAAAUAUCCCUGGUGAAUGUAGGGCUAAAAAUAUCCUGCUGUUUAUAUGGGAGCAAAGCGUGAGCCGCAUGCAGGCACUGGGAAGCAGAGCUGCUUAUACUAGCUUGUUGCCCCGCUCAGGGGAGGAGGGUCUGAGAAGGAAACCAAACCUGGGCAGGAUCCAAGCGAGAGCUCAAGACUUGGAUGCCCUCCACAGGCUACAGUCAGGACAUGGCUCUUUGCUACUGAGCAGUUCUUGCUCUGCCUGGCUGCCUCUUCCUCUGUCGUGCAGCUCCCCUCUGUUCCCGGAAGGUCUUCGGUGGGCCCUGACACACUGCUUCCCAUCCUGGUGAGGACCACACUCCCUGCAGAGAUGCAACCUUGAGAUCUCAGCCGUCCAUGUUAUCACCAGCCAAAAGACUCCAAAGAGGCCACAUAAAAGCAAGGAAGACAUGUUUCAUGAAGUCAUGCAGCAUUCAAGUAAUGAACAUUGAAAAGUGCAGGAGUGGCGGGACAGCGAAAGGAGGAUCCGCUAGCAGACUGAGGAGCACCGGCACCAAAGCGUGGUGCUCCGGCAGCAAAGCACGGAUUGGCUGAUAAGCAUGAUGGAACGCCAAGCGGACUCUUUCCAGGCCUUCGUAGCCAUGCAGGCAGAGCACUACUGCCCCCGUCCUCCUCCCCGCAGCCCUUGACCCCAAACGCUUUCCCUUGUGCCCCCAUGUCACCUCCAACCCACUUUCCCCAACAUCCGGGUUCUCACUGCCACCAGCUGCCUCCAACACUUGUAGCUUCACCAUCCAGCCCUGAAAACUACGGCCCUUACCCACUGCACUCAACCCCCAUCACCAUGCAGUAUAGCCAUCCUGAAGUGCAGCACUCAUUGCACAGCACUCCAGACAGGAAGGCUGAGUACGGUAACAGGACAUACGCAAAUCUGUGAUUGUACCGUUCCCCACCCUGCCCCCAAUGCCGCUGCAAGUGCCGCAAAUGUGGCCAUGCCAGUGCAUUUGCAGCUGUCAGUGUGGACAGCCUGCAGCGCUUUCCCUACUGCACUCUCCGAAGGCAGGUUUAACUCAAAGCGCUCUACAUCUGCAAACGUAGCCAUGCCCUGAGGAAUUGCCCAAUAAUCUCAUAAACCAUUACCAAGCCAGGAGAGGUUACUCCUACUCCCCGACCUCGUAUAAUAUUGAUUCAGGUCUUUUGGAUGCUGGCUUCUUACCCGCAGUUCAUCCACCUAAGCCCUGGAACAUGAAUCUGUGGCAGACACAGUUUACUGACCCUGGAAAUCAAUCCAUUACAGUGUAUUUCAAAAGAAGACAAUCAAAUACGUUUUCUUUAAAAGUCUUUAUAGCCAGUUGCAGCCAUGAAAUAGUACAGCUGUAUGGUAUUGAACUUGCAUUUUUGGCAUAAGGUCAAUUUAUGCCAUGCUCUAACCUGGUUCCCUAUCUAUAUAUCUUUGUCUAUAUAUACACAUACACAAUGAUGUCUCCCCUCGUUGGAGUUAAUCCACCUCACUGAGAGGUGGUAUCUAGGUUGACAGACAGGAGAAUUUAUCUGUCAACCUAGCGCUGUCUGCACCAUGGGUUAGGUUGGCAUAGCUCCGUCUCUCAGGGAUGUGGAUUUUUCACAUCCCUGAGAGACACAGAUAUGCCAAUGUGAGUUUUCAGUGGAGACCAGUGUGACAUUAUCUGAUUAAAAUAUGACCAUAUAGAUGCAUGGAGUGAAAAUUACAGAAACAGGCAUAGAUAGAAAUCUAUGCCUGUAUCUGUAAUUUUCACUCUAUGCAUCUGAAGAAGUGGUUUUUUUACCCACAAAAGCUUAUGCCCAAAUAAAUCUGCUAGUCUUUAAGGUGC